AUGGCUACGAAGAAAUAUUUCUUCUCCUAUGGAUCCUUCUCGAUUAAGGACGGCUCGAAAAUUAGAUUCUGGGAGGACAAGUGGCUAGGAAAUGCCACACUCCGGGAACAAUAUCCGGCUCUAUACAACAUUGUGCGUCACAAGGGUGAUACUAUUGCCACUGUAAUGGAAUCAUUUCCGCCAAAUGUGACGUUCAGAAGAGAUUUAAUUGGACCUAGACUCCAAUCGUGGUAUAUCCUGCUUCAACGGUUGUCCACGGUGCAAUUGUCACAUGGGUCUGAUGUAUUUCGAUGGAACCUACAUGAGAAUGGAAAAUUCUCAGUGGAGUCUAUGUAUAGAGCGUUAAUCCAGUCUGAUGUGCCAGAUGAUAAUAAUAAGAAGAUCUGGAAGAUGAAGAUACCUCUUAUAAGAACAAAAUAUUUGCAUGGUAUCUUCGUCGCGGAGUCAUUCUUACUAAAGAUAACCUUAUCAAGAGGAAUUGGCAUGGAAGUCCGUGAUGUGUUUUUUGUCAUCAUGAUGAGACAAUAA
rnacentral:rRNA from 1 species